AGUGAACGCUGGCGGUAGGCCUAACACAUGCAAGUCGAACGGCAGCACAGUAAGAGCUUGCUCUUACGGGUGGCGAGUGGCGUACGGGUGAGGAAUACAUCGAAAUCUACUUUUUCGUGGGGGAUAACGUAGGGAAACUUACGCUAAUACCGCAUACGACCUACGGGUUAAAGCAGGGGCUCUUCGGACCUUUCGCGAUUGAAUGAGCCGAUGUCGGAUUAGCUAGUUGGCGGGGUAAAGGCCCACCAAGGCGACGGUCCGUAGAUGGUCUGAGAGGAUGAUCAGCGAAACUGGAACUGAGACACGGUCCAGACUCCUACGGGAGGCAGCAGUGGGGAAUAUUGGACAAUGGGCGCAAUCCUGAUCCAGCCAUACCGCGUGGGUGAAGAAGGCCUUCGGGUUGUAAAGCCCUUUUGUUGGGAAAGAAAAGCAGCAGGUUAAUACCCCGCUGUUCUGACGGUACCCAAAGAAUAAGCACCGGCUAACUUCGUG
rnacentral:rRNA from 1 species